rnacentral:rRNA from 1 species
UACGGGGGGGGGCAAGCGUUGUUCGGAAUUACUGGGCGUAAAGGGUUCGUAGGUGGCCAACUAAGUCAGACGUGAAAUCCCUCAGCUUAACUGGGGAACUGCAUUUGUGACUGCACGGCUAGAGUGUGUCAGAGGGGGGUAGAAUUCCACGUGUAGCAGUGAAAUGCGUAGAUAUGUGGAGGAACACCGAUGGCGAAGGCAGCCCCCCUGGGUCAAGACUGACGCUCAUGCACGAAAGCGUGGGGAGCAAACAGG